GGACGAACGCUGGCGGCGUGCCUAAUACAUGCAAGUCGAGCGCGGGAAGCGAGCGGAUCCCUUCGGGGUGAAGCUCGUGGAACGAGCGGCGGACGGGUGAGUAACACGUGGGCAACCUGCCUGUAAGAUCGGAAUAACCCCGGGAAACCGGGGCUAAUGCCGGGUAAUACUUUCUUUCGCAUGAAGGAAAGUUGAAAGAUGGCUUCUUGCUAUCACUUACAGAUGGGCCCGCGGCGCAUUAGCUAGUUGGUGAGGUAACGGCUCACCAAGGCGACGAUGCGUAGCCGACCUGAGAGGGUGAUCGGCCACACUGGGACUGAGACACGGCCCAGACUCCUACGGGAGGCAGCAGUAGGGAAUCUUCCGCAAUGGACGAAAGUCUGACGGAGCAACGCCGCGUGAACGAUGAAGGUCUUCGGAUCGUAAAGUUCUGUUGUUAGGGAAGAACAAGUACCGUGCGAAUAGAGCGGUACCUUGACGGUACCUAACGAGGAAGCCCCGGCUAACUACGU
rnacentral:rRNA from 1 species